GGAGCAGUAGCUCAGUGGGAGAGCACAUGACUGAAGAUCAUGUUGUCGGGUGUUCGAUUCACCCCUGCUCCA
rnacentral:tRNA from 1 species